rnacentral:rRNA from 1 species
UACGUAGGGGGCAAGCGUUGUCCGGAUUUAUUGGGCGUAAAGAGCGUGUAGGCGGCCAGGUAGGUCCGUUGUGAAAACUCGAGGCUCAACCUCGAGACGUCGAUGGAAACCCUCUGGCUAGAGUCCGGAAGAGGAGAGUGGAAUUCCUGGUGUAGCGGUGAAAUGCGCAGAUAUCAGGAAGAACACCCGUGGCGAAAGCGGCUCUCUGGAACGGUACUGACGCUGAGACGCGAAAGCGUGGGGAGCGAACAGG